AAAAUGACGGGUCCUGACUAGUUCUCUCACUGAUAGAGUUUUCUCACUUAUCCAGUUUUCACCUACCCAGGUUUGACUGUAUAUUUGAAUAAGAACACCUCUUGUAAAACUUUAACCAGUUCUUAGAUACAAGAUUCCAAAAACACAUCAAAUCAGUCGAAAAUGAAAACCGUGGUCACUAGGUUUCACACUUAAAAGUUUCUUCUCUUCGCUCUCAGAAAAGAUCGCAGGGUAAGAUCCUUUUAUACCACAUUAUCUGAGGCCUAGAAACUUCUUUACUCGAAAAUCGUAAACAAACGAACGAUACAAAAAUAUUUUAAUUAUGACUAUUCUCAGAAUUUCUUUUCUACGUCGUUGUUUUGUAGGUAUACAUUAUGUUGCUUAGUGCCUACAUGUUACGUUGUCGCACGCGUUUUUAAACUUUCUAAGUAAUGAAUCUAAAACUACUAUUCCUAUUUUUUUGUACCACUACUAUUAAUAAGAUUAUUUUGCAAGAGAAUUAAUGAUUGCUUGCUGCACAUACGUCAUGCACAAUAUUUAAGAAUAUAAUAAUUAUAUUUAGGAAUCGUAUCCCAUGACUUGCAUUCUUAUUAAGUAGAUUUAAGUAAGUAAACAGUAAGCCGACGGAUAGAGGCCAUGCCUUACACCACUCUGUGGCAGAUUUAACCUCAAUCCGUUGACCUAUUGACCCGUUGUACAUAUACAUUCAGCUUAAUUGACAAAACAUAAAAUGUGCCUUAAUGUAAAUAAAAAGCCCAAACCAUAAGUAUGAUGAGUUGACAAAUUAUGAUUUAAGUGACGGUUAAACGGAUGUGUAAAUCUCAAUAAAACCAUCGAUAAAACUUAUCUUGUAGCUCGAGAGUUUAGAUAAUCUCUGCCAUAACUAUAAUAUGAUGUAUAUAAAAUUUAAGUAGUAGUAAAGUUUUUUGUGACCGAGCUCGUCCGGUGAAGUUCUCGGUUUGUGGGCUUUCUGUUCGGUCCAUCUUUUAAAAAUACAAAAAAUAAUAAAAAAAAACAAAAAAAAAACUAAUGUUAAGUUAAUUAUAACGAAAUAAUAUAGAAUAUAUAAAUAAUGAGUUCAGGGAUAUUCCUAACCCCCCAAGGAUGUCACAAGCUAGUGAAAUUACUGUCUCUGUAAAUAUAUUAAGCACGUACAACGUAGAAAUAGUUUAGUUUUAAGCGUAAAACUUGUCGAAGACCUACCCUGACUUAAUAUUAUAUGUGUUUUGGUGCAUUUUAUAUUUAAACCUUUCUGCAAACGUUUAUCCGAUUGACCUUGGGGUCUAUUUUAAAUAUAGUUAAAGCAGGACAAUUAAUAGUUGCCUACCUAUCUUAUCUAAUAUAUAAAGCUAAAGAUUUUGUUUGUUGGUCGGUUUGCUUGAACGCGAAUAUCUCAGGACCUACUCGUCCAAAUUGAAAAAUCAUAUCAGUGUUGCUUAGCCCAUUUAUAGAGCAAGGCUAUUGGCUAUAUAUCAUAACGCUAAGAGAAUGUUUCAAAAUCAUUGUUUUUUUUCCCUUUUGAAAGCUUCUGCUGCGUUUACUGCGUUAACAUCUAAAGUUCUGAUACAAUCCUGUGUGACAAAGUUGAUCCCCCUUAAAAGUUCUGAGAAAAGUCCGCGACAGCAUAUGUCUAUCUCUUAGGUUGAGUUAUAGGCAGAAAAAAUUGCAAGGGACCGCUAGUUAGCAUAUAAAAUGACUACAUGUAAAACAUUUUGUGGAAAAAAGAGUUUAAUUGAAUCAAUUGACAAUGAAAUGAUCGCAAUAAAAACGUACUUUUAAUCGAAGAUAGAUUGUACUCACAGUCAAUUGUAAUGAAAUAGAUAAAUAAAUAGGAAAUCUUUCGUUUUCCUGCAAAACCAUGUACCCCGCAGAAUACACUUCACAGUUCAACAUAGAGUAUAUUAUGUUACAGUAGAAACAAAAAUAACUAUAAUAAUAAUGAAGAAAUUUCAUUUGUUAAUUUUAAAUUCUAAAUUAACCAUUUUGCGGUCUGCUCGUACAUAAUGUUAUCCAUAAAUACUAAGUCAGGGUUUGCGAAGACUAGCAUUCUUAAAAGCGUGUACGUAGAAUGAAGUAAGUGAACAGUAAGCCGACGGAUAGAGGCCAUGCCUAAAACCACUCUGUGACAGAUUUGACCUCAAUCCGUUGACCUACUGACCCGUUGUACAUAUACAGCUUAGUUGCUGGAAACAAAAGUAUUUCAAAGAGAAUGCCUUACUGUAAAUAAAAAGUCCAAACCAUAAAAAUGGUGAGUUGGCAAAUUAUUAUUAAGGUGACGUUUAAACGGAUGUAUUAAUAUGGUAAUAAAUCCAUCGAUACCUUAUAACGUAUCUUGUAGUUCAUAAGUUGAUGUAUAUAAAAGUUUUAAAAUUACUAUUUAACUGUAGAAAUAAUGCAAUAAGAGAUAUCUCAAAUUCCUGAGUCUGUCAAAACAAGUUAAAUUACUGCGUCUGUGAAUAUAUUAGGUAUGAUCCUACCGUGUAGAUAGUUAUGUAAUAUUUAAAUAUUACAAACUUGUCUAAGGCAUACCCUGACUUAAUAUUUUGUGUGUUUUGGUACAUUUUAUAUUUUUAACAUCCUGCAAACGUUUUUCCGAUUAGCCUUCGAAUUGUCUAUCUUAAAUGUAGGUAAAGCAGGAUGAUUAAUACUUGCCUACCUAUCUUAUCUAGUAUCUAGUCUGUGACGGCAUUUGUCUAGCUUUUAAGGUUAUAUAUAUAUAUAUAUAUAGUCAUAUAAAAUAGGUUGUUAAAAAAACGUUUAAUUUAAUCAAUUUGACAAUGCAAUAAUUGCAAUAAAAACGUAAAACCUUUAAUCGAUAAUAGAUUGUAGUUAUUACAGGCAAUUGUAAUAAAAAAGAAUAAAAAAUAGGGAAUCUUACGUUUUCCUGCUAAACCAUGUACCCCACAGCAAACAUUGUUAUGGAGCGUACAUUGCCAGUUACAGUAUAACAACACUAAGUAUAUUAAUAAUGAAGAAUGCAAAACGCCCAAAAAUAGCAUUAGACUGACAACGCACGCAACGUUUAUUUUUAAUAGAUUUCGCAUAAUAAUAGAUUUCAUUUGUAAAAUUUAAAUUUUAAAUUAAGCAUUUUUCGGUCUGCUCGUUCAUAAUGUUAUCCAUAAAUACUAAGUCAGGGUUUGCGAAGACUAGCAUUCUUAAUAGCGUGUACGUAGAAUUAAGUAAGUAAACAGUAAGCCGACGGAUAGAGGCCAUGCAUAUACCACUCUGGCAGAUUUGACCUCAAUCCGUUGACCUAUCGAACCGUUGAACAUAUAGCUUAAUUGACAAAACAUAAAACGUUCUUUAAUGUAAAUAAAAAGUCCAAACCAUAAAUAUGAUGAGUUGGCAAAUUAUGAUUUAAGUGACAGUUAAAUGGAUGUGUAAAUAUAACAAUAAAACCAUGUGUAUGGCUUACGUAUCUUAUAGUUCGAUAGUUUAGUCACAUCUUUUGGCGUCUGCCAUAACUAUACAAUGAUGUAUAUCGAAGAUAAGUAGUAGUAGGGCUUUUUAGGACAGAGCUCGUUCGGGGAAGUAUUUGGUAGGUGGGCUUUCUUUUUGGUCCAUUAAUUAAGAAAAGAAAUAAAAAUAAAA